rnacentral:rRNA from 1 species
AUUUAACGCUGGCGGCAGGCCUAACACAUGCAAGUCGAACGAGUGGCGGACAGGUGAGUAAUGUCUGGGAACCUGCCUGAUGGAGGGGGAUCACUACUGGAAACGGUAGCUCAUACCGCAUACCAUCAGAUUUGCCCAGAUGGGAUUAGAUUGUUGGUGGGGUAACGGCUCACCCGGGCGACGAUCCCUAGCUGGUCUGAGAGGAUGCCCAGCCAAACUGGAACUGAGACACGGUCCAGACUCCUACGGGAGGCAGCAGUGGGGAAUAUUGAACAAUGGGCGCAAGCCUGAUGCAGCCAUGCCGCGGGUAUGAAGAAGGCCUUCGGGUUGUAAAGUACUUUCAGCGGUGAGGCGUUACCCGCAGAAGAAGCACCGGCUAACUCCGUGCCAGCCGCCGCGGUAAUUC